GACGAACGCUGGCGGCGUGCUUAACACAUGCAAGUCGAACGGAAAGGCCCUGCUUUUGUGUGGUUCUCGAUUGGCGAACGGGUGAGUAACACGUGAGUAACCUGCCCUUAACUUUGGGAUAACUUCAGGGAACUGGGGCUAAUACCGCAUAGGAUCUUCUGCUGCAUGUGGUGGGUUAGAAAGUGUCGGCGUUGGUGGAUGUACUCGCUGCUUAUCAGCUGCCUUGUGGGGUAGUUGCGUACCAAGGCUUUGACGGGUAGCCUGCCUGGGAGGGUGAACGGCGACCAUGGGACUACGAUACGGAGCAGUAUGCAACCGGAGGCAGCAGUGGGGAAUAUUGCAGAGUGGGGGGACGCCUGAUGCGGAAACGCUGCGUGCGGGAUGACGGCCUUUGGGUUGUAAACCGCUUUCGCCUGUGAUGAAGCGUGAGUGACGGUAAUGGGUAAAGAAGCCCCGGCUAACUACGUG
rnacentral:rRNA from 1 species